UCGUAGUUGUUGUUGUUUCGACGCCGAAGAAUCAGCACGUCGGAGCGCGGCUGUUUUAAGGAAAUUAUUAAUUACGAGAAAAAGUGUAUGCAAAGGCGACAAAGCGCUAGAUAAGAGGCCAUUAAGCAUUAUCUAAGCGUGGACGGCAAACACGACCCCGCGAUUAGAUAGAAAUAAUAUCAAAAUAAAUUCAAGUCUCAAGUCAAAUGUGCUGCAACAACCAGCAGCCAUCAAUGUCGCCGCCGCCGCGUGCAAAAUAAAAAGCAAAAUAAAUAAAAUAAGAAAUUUACAAAGAAAGAAAAAGAGUAUGAAAGCAUAGUGCCAGGUGCCAGCGUCCGCAUCGUUUGUUUGUCUCUCAUGUCUGCGCUUCGUGUCGCGUGUUUGUGUGCGUGUCAGAGUGUUUGAUAGUGGUCGCUGUGGUAGCUGUAUGCGCCUGUUUCUGUGUGUGUGAGCUCUUGUAAGUGCACCUGCCAGGCUGCCUUGGAGAACUUGCAGCCCCCACCCGCCGCUCGCCGGGCCACCCCUCCGCCCCUCUCCAGCUGUGACUGCAACAUCAACAAGAAAUUUCGCUGACCAGCGUCGCGUGUGUUUGUAUGAAAAUGUCAUUGUCAGUGGCGACGCUGACGCUGACGCCGCUGCUGAAUAAAGAUAAAAGAUAAAAGAUAAAAGAUAAAAAUCAAAUCAAAUAAAAGUGAAUCAAAACGUCUGCGUGUUUGUGCCUGUGUGUGUAUAAGAGAGCAGAGAGCGCGCUUCAUUAAUCCGUCUAACUGUUGUUACUGCUGUUAAAGUUGACGUCGACGUCGACGUCGCCGUUGCAGAGGAGCAUAGCAGCAGCAUCGAACACACAGUUGCCAUUCGAUUUAACGUCCAAGCUCACAUUCAAAAUUCUGUGAAAGAAAAAGGCAAACGAGCUCUUAAACUAUUCCUGCAACAAUUGCUUCCAAAUCAACUGAAAAUUGCCAAAAAGCUAAGAUAAAUAAAUCGUAGAGAAAUACAACUGCCAAACAUAGCGAAACUUCCGAAAUGUGGAAACUUCAGACUAUGAAAAAAACACAAAUUGCCUCGUAAAUAAUUUGGAAGAUAAUAUUAUACACACAUUUAGAUAUACAUCAAAGAGAGAUCAGAGAACGCCAUGGAUGCUCCAGAUGCUGGCCGCAUUAUACGUGCACCUGCGCGACGCAAACGCAACGACGAACAGCUAAUGGAUAGA